AUCCAGCUGAUGAGUCCCAGAUAGGACGAAACGAGGGUCCUAGAU
rfam:Schistosoma haematobium scaffold9_25, whole genome shotgun sequence.